GUGCUUGCUUUGGCAGCACAUACACUAAAAUUAGAAUGAUACAGAUAUGAUUAGUAGGGCCUCUGUGCAAGCAUGACACGCAAAUUUGUGAAGCAUUUCAUAUUUUU